CCUGCUUUCAAUUUUGUCCGGUGAGAACUCCUGAUAAUUCUGAAUUUGUAAUUCUCAAAUCUUGUUUUUAAAAAUAGUCAUGUAAUUUCUGUACAAAAUGGUAGAAUUUGUAGGAAUUCUGGACAUGCUUCCUGGCUUUCUCAAAGGCCCUGUCUUCACCAGUGGACCUGCUGCAGGGAGGGAGAUACUGAAUGAUGACAGAGAAGUCUAUCCCGAGAGCUCUGCUGGGACAAAGGAGGCAGAAACACCUGGCCAACGCACAAAUGGAAAAGUCGGCAGGACAAGAACUCGGGGUUGGAAAUGAAUAGUGCUUAAUCCCAUGAGGCUGAGGACUUGCUAUUUAGAUGCUCAUGCUGUAAAAGCUUCAAAGACUCAAGGGGAUUUAUUAAGAGCUAGGGCAUUGAAACCUUUGGCUGUGUGCAGCAUCGCCCAUUGAAUCGUAAAUUUGUCUUUAUAAAUAUCGAGAACAUGUACUUGAUGAUUUUACUCAUACAAACCAGGUAAGGAGGUGGUGAAUCAUAUCAUCAUCAUCCUUGAGAAGGAGAGCGAUCUGGAGUGUUCAUUUUCCAGCUGAAAUUACUGGAAGUUUUUUUUUGGCUUUAUUUUGUUGCGUUUUUGAAGGGAGAAAAUAAAAAAGGAGGAAUGCCAAAGGUUGUCAGUUGUUUUCAGGAAAGCAUAUAUUCCAGGUUUCCAUUCCUGUCACCUGCAGAUAAAUUUAAAUGCACGGAGCCUUGAAAUCUGAGCAUUGAAUGGUACUCUGGGUAUCAUUUAACCUUCACACACCAUAAUGAGGCCCUUUAUAGCGUUCUAUCAGACAGUCACGCUCUCUCGAUUUGGACGCUUCUGGUGAGGGGGGACGCAUUACUUGAAGAGGCAGCAUGCCCAUUAUGGCAUUGCACAUUUUAUUAUAAAAGUUGUAAUUAACUACUGAAUUCCAUUCUUCACAGUGCAGUGUUAUAGUGUGGGCAAAGGCACUGACGUGAUCUGAAAGUAGGCCCCAGGGUAGAAAUUAGAAGCUCUUUUGUGCAUACCAUGCACAGUCUUGUUGUUGGUACCAGGUUGUGCUGCCUCUGCUUUCUGCUAAGUGAAUCCAGGGAUAUGAUAGAUUUGAGGAAAUGGUCAGCAUAUAUUUUAGUUUUUUUCCUAGAUGUUCCAAUUGGCCUUGGACUUGGCUGCAGCAGCAUAGGUGAACAUUGAGGAUGCUGUUCCCUAAAUUUAACUAUAGAAUGGGAGUUGUGGAUAGGGGUGGGGACUGUCUGUCUGUGGUUGGACUUGACUUGGUACUAGGUAAGUUUAGUGUGUCCAGAACCUUAUCUUCAUCAGCUUUUUUUCUUUUUUUUGAGAUAGGGUCUCGCUCUUCUGUCCAGGCUGGAGUACAGUGGCACAUUCUUGGCUCACUGAAACCUCCACCCCCAGGGCUCAAGCCAUACUCCCACCUCAGCCCACCAAGUAGCUGGGACUACAGGGCUGGGACUUACAUGUAUUUGAAUGAAUUCUAUAUAUUUCCCCUCUUUUCCUGACUCUUCAGUGACAAUCCUAAGACCAUGCUAAUAACAGAAGACAGUAAUCCCUUUUCUUAGCCAAACAAUUUGGAAGCCAUGAUUUUCUUUGCAUAUCAUGAAAGUGACCAUGGUGUUGGAUAUUGUGGUAGAACUUUCAAGUAAAAAAGAACUGUCAUUCAACUGAAUUGGAAGCCUCCAAGACUGCUGAGCACCCCAUGUCUUCGAGUGCACCGAGGCUGGAGGAAUGCUACAGAGGGAAACUUGCUUUGGAAGAAGGUGGUCUUCAUAGCUUCCAAUGUCUCCUAUGCUCCCAUAAAUAAGAGCAGAAAACAGAGACUAUAAAACUUUUGGGUCUCUGAUUUUUCAGACUCUUUUCUUAUUAAUUCCAGCAUAUGCACCUACUGAUGAUGACUUCCUGAGUGACUGAUGUGUGCCAGGUCCUGUAGUUGUUAUAGUUAAAGAGAAUAAAAGAUCCUUCCAUUGCUAUGGUGAUAUUUUUGCCACUAACCAGUUACUCAUCACUCCCAGUUGGAACAUAGCUA
rnacentral:lncRNA from 1 species